UCGGGAAUUUUGGGCAAUGGGCGAAAGCCUGACCCAGCAACGCCGCGUGAGGGAUGAAGUAUUUCGGUAUGUAAACCUCGAAAGAAUGGGAAGAAUAAAUGACGGUACCAUUUAUAAGCUCCGGCUAACUACGUGCCAGCAGCCGCGGUAAUACGUAGGGAGCAAGCGUUGUUCGGAUUUACUGGGUGUAAAGGGCGCGUAGGCGGCGCGGUAAGUCACUUGUGAAAUCUCUGAGCUUAACUCAGAACGGCCAAGUGAUACUGCUGUGCUAGAGUGCGGAAGAGGCAACCGGAAUUCUUGGUGUAGCGGUGAAAUGCGUAGAUAUCAAGAGGAACACCUGAGGCGAAGGCGGGUUGCUGGGCCGACACUGACGCUGAUGCGCGAAAGCCAGGGGAGCAAACG
rnacentral:rRNA from 1 species